rnacentral:rRNA from 1 species
GUCGAUGGCCAUGCUACUCUGAACAUGCCCAAUCCUGUCUGAUCUCGGAAGCUAAGCAGGAUCGGGCCUGGUUAGUACUUGGAUGGGAGACCACCUAGGAAGACCAGGUGCUGUAGGUG